rnacentral:rRNA from 1 species
GUCGAACGGAAAGGCCCUGCUUGCAGGGUACUCGAGUGGCGAACGGGUGUGUAACACGUGGGUGAUCUGCCCUGCACUUCGGGAUAAGCCUGGGAAACUGGGUCUAAUACCGGAUAGGAGCCAUUUUUAGUGUGAUGGUUGGAAAGUUUUUUCGGUGUAGGAUGAGCUCGCGACCUAUCAGCUUGUUGGUGGGGUAAUGGCCUACCAAGGCGGCGACGGGUAGCCGGCCUGAGAGGGUGGACGGCCACAUUGGGACUGAGAUACGGCCCAGACUCCUACGGGAGGCAGCAGUGGGGAAUAUUGCACAAUGGGCGCAAGCCUGAUGCAGCGACGCCGCGUGGGGGAUGACGGCCUUCGGGUUGUAAACUCCUUUCGCUAGGGACGAAGCUUUUUGUGACGGUACCUAGAUAAGAAGCACCGGCUAACUACGUGCCAGCAGCCGCGGUAAUACGUAGGGUGCGAGCGUUGUCCGGAAUUACUGGGCGUAAAGGGCUCGUAGGUGGUUUGUCGCGUCGUCUGUGAAAUUCCGGGGCUUAACUCCGGGCGUGCAGGCGAUACGGGCAUAACUUGAGUACUGUAGGGGUAACUGGAAUUCCUGGUGUAGCGGUGAAAUGCGCAGAUAUCAGGAGGAACACCGGUGGCGAAGGCAGGUUACUGGGCAGUUACUGACGCUGAGGAGCGAA